rnacentral:lncRNA from 1 species
CGUGUUAAUGCACCUAAUUUUUAAAUUAAGUCUUAAUUAAUCUUCAUCUAAUUUUAAAUAAAAUCUUAAGAUAGCUUCCAAGUCUAUAGCCAUAUACACUGAACUUGCCAAUUUCAAAUGAUCUCAUAAGCUAAGCAGGGCCAGGCCUGGUUAGCACUUGGAUGGGAGACAGCUUCCUAACAUAUUUUUCAACCACUUCUAAUGACAGUUUCAGCUUAAGCAAAUGAAGACAUUUGGGUGAUGCACAAAGGGCCUUUUAAAUUCAUGGAAAUCAAUAUAAAACAAUAUAUAAGGAUUUGAAAAUCUUUGCACCAUCAUAUGUAUUUUUAGUUCUAUUCUCCAUUAAGUUUUUGAAAUAUUCUCAUAUGUUCACCUUUGAUGAAAAAUUUCAUUACUUUGUCUAAAAGUUGCUUAAAUUUUCAGCUACCAAAGGGGAUUUCUGUGAUCAACCAUCAUUUGCAACUGAAAUAUUUUUUAACAUCCCUUAUUACAAGUGGCUUGGAAUUGGCUUUCAUGUUACACUUUCACUUAAGAAAGUAAAUGAAGAGCAUUAGAGGCAGAUCUUGAUUAAAAGAAUUUUAAAAGAAGCCAACAUCUUGAGAGGACCCACCACCUUUUAAAAGCACCUAUUAAUGCAAUUGCUGGGUAGAAGGAAAGCUUGCAAUGGGGAAGAGAUAGCAAUUACUGAUACCACAGCCCCAGAAAACACCAAUGAGGAAUGGAACACAGUAAGAGACUCAAAUGCUGCCAAGUUCUAUGACAAUUUCUACCCUUUGAUUUGGCUAAUAGGAAAUUCAUUUGAGGAAAUGUGA